rnacentral:rRNA from 1 species
UACGGAGGGGGCAAGCGUUAUUCGGAAUCAUUGGGCGUAAAGGGCGCGUAGGCGGCUUGGCAAGUCAAAGGUGAAAUCCCUCGGCCUAACCGAGGAACUGCCUUUGAUACUGCUUGGCUUGAGGCCGGGAGAGGGUAGCGGAAUUCCCAGUGUAGCGGUGAAAUGCGUAGAUAUUGGGAGGAACACCAGUGGCGAAGGCGGCUACCUGGACCGGUUCUGACGCUGAGGCGCGAAAGCGUGGGGAGCAAACGGG